GUUCCAGGGUCAGUUCCAUGGUCUUUCAGUUCCAGGGUCAGUUCCAGGGUCAGUACCAGUUCCAGGGUCAGUUCCAGAGUCAUUUCCAGUACCAUAUUAACAUGUACAGGGAUACUGGAGUGAUGGAGGUAGAUAUGUAUAGGGGGAAGGAGACAGGGAUAUUGGAGUGAUGGAGGUAGAUAUGUAUAGGGGGAAGGAGACAGGGAUACUGGAGUGAUGGAGGUAGAUAUGUAUAGGGGUAAGGAGACAGGGAUACUGGAGUAAUGGAGGUAGAUAUGUAUAGGAGACAAGGAUACUGGAGUGAUGGAGGUAGAUAUGUAUAGGGGGAAGGAGACAGGGAUACUGGAGUGAUGGAGGUAGAUAUGUAUAGGGGGAAGGAGACAGGGAUACUGGAGUGAUGGAGGUAGAUAUGUAUAGGGGGAAGGAGACAGGGAUACUGGAGUGAUGGAGGUAGAUAUGUAUAGGGGGAAGGAGACAGGGAUACUGGAGUGAUGGAGGUAGAUAUGUAUAGGGGGAAGGUGACAAGGCAAACAAGAUAUAAGAUAAACAGAGUCGCAGCAGUGUGUGGGUGUGUCGAGUCCGUAUAAUUUUAUGUCCAGAGGUGUUUUAAACAAUCUUUAGAACGUUCCAGUACCAUGCUGUUGGAGUACAUGACAAACCAUGGUCUUGUUAUUAUAGCCUAGAUAUUGGAACAUUUUGAAUGUUUUGUUUCACAGUGGAAAUAGUGAUAUUAUAUUAUAUAUUAUUACUGUGCAUGCUGCGUACUAUUAUUCCUGCAACUUCAGAUCUGUAGGUUUGUAACUUCACGUUGCA